rnacentral:rRNA from 1 species
UGGGGAAUUUUGCGCAAUGGGGGAAACCCUGACGCAGCAACGCCGCGUGAGUGAUGAAGGCCUUUGGGUCGUAAAGCUCUGUCAGAGGGAAAGAAAUGUGGGCGGCUAAUAUCUGUUCCACUUGACGGUACCCUCAAAG